rnacentral:lncRNA from 10 species
CCUUUUCCCUUUCUGCCCUCUGCCAUGUGAGGUCACAGUGUUCCUCCCUCCUGAGGAUGCAGUGUUCAUGAAAGCAAACACUGGGCCCUCACCAGGCAACAAACCUGCUGGUGCCUUCAUCUUGGACUUCCCAGCCUUCGGAACUGUUAAGAAGCUCCACUGCGCUUUGUCCAUUGCAAGUUGAGAAGUGAGGCCCCAGCUGUCACAUACAGCUCCAUCACAAGAGGGAGCCCCAUUGCUAGUCCCCAUCCUCAAAGCCUCUGCGUGAUGUUGUCUACUGUUACUCUUCACUACCCUGUGGGAGCCAAAGCCCUGGACAUAAGAACAGAAGGCAAGCAGUGGUGGCUGAGAGGAAGAACUGACACCUUUGUGCUAUCAGAGCACUUUGCAGAGGAGCUGUUAGUGGCCCUGUAGGAGUCUGCUGGCCAUACAUCUGGGUGUCAAAUCAAGAGAGCAUGAGAAGUUGGACAGGAAAGGUCCAAGGCAAAAUGGUUACUAAAGGCCAUCCCUGAUCCUGACCCUAAAAGAAGAAAAGGCCCUUUGCUCUUGGCAUGCUUUUGCAGGAGUGUCUCAGUCUGUUUGGGCUGCUAUAACAUUGACUGGGUGAUCUGCCUGCCUGGCCUCCCAAAGUGCUGGGGUUACAGGUGUGAGCCGCUGCACCAGGCCUUGAGGUCAGGAGUUCGAGACCAGCCUGGCCAACAUGGUGAAACCUGUCUUUACUAAAAAUACAGAAAUUAGCCAGGCAUGGAGGCGCAUGCCUGUAAUCCCAGCUACUGGGGAGGCUGAGGCAGGAGAAUCGCUUGAACCCAGAAGGUGGAGGUUGCGGUGAGCCCAGAUAGUGCCAUUGCACUCUAGCCUGGCCAACAAGAGUGAAACUCUGUCUCAAAAAAUAAAUAAACAAACAAACAAACAAC